UACGGAGGGUGCAAGCGUUGCUCGGAAUCACUGGGCGUAAAGGGCGUGUAGGCGGUCUCGUAUGUCUGACGUGAAAGCCCCGGGCUUAACCUGGGAAUUGCGAUGGAGACUGCAAGGCUUGAAUCUGGCAGAGGGGGGUAGAAUUCCACGUGUAGCAGUGAAAUGCGUAGAGAUGUGGAGGAACACCGAUGGCGAAGGCAGCCCCCUGGGAUAACACUGACGCUCAUGCACGAAAGCGUGGGGAGCAAACAGG
rnacentral:rRNA from 1 species